rnacentral:rRNA from 1 species
UACGUAGGGUGCGAGCGUUGUCCGGAAUUAUUGGGCGUAAAGAGCUCGUAGGCGGUCUGUCGCGUCGGUCGUGAAAACUUGGGGCUUAACCCUGAGCUUGCGGUCGAUACGGGCAUGACUGGAGUUCGGCAGGGGAGACUGGAAUUCCUGGUGUAGCGGUGAAAUGCGCAGAUAUCAGGAGGAACACCGGUGGCGAAGGCGGGUCUCUGGGCCGAAACUGACGCUGAGGAGCGAAAGCGUGGGGAGCGAACAGG